GACGAACCGUACGAACGUUAUUCGGAAUCACUGGGCUUAAAGGGUGCGUAGGCGGCCCGGGAAGUUGGGUGUGAAAGCCCUCGGCUCAACCGAGGAAUUGCGCCCAAAACUGCCGGGCUCGAGGGAAACAGAGGUAAGCGGAACUUAGGGUGGAGCGGUGAAAUGCGUUGAUAUCCUAAGGAACACCAGGAGCGAAAGCGGCUUACUGGGUUUCUUCUGACGCUGAGGCACGAAAGCUAGGGGAG
rnacentral:rRNA from 1 species